GCUUGGGUAGCUCAAUUGGUAGAGCACUUGCCCUGGCAAGGCAAAGGCCCCGAGUUCGAAUCUCGGUCUGGGACA